CGGACGGGUGAGUAACGCGUAGAGAACUUGCCCUUUAGACUGGGAUAACAGAGGGAAACUUCUGAUAAUACUGGAUAAGUUAGUAUAUCGCAUGAUAUGCAAAUGAAAGCUACGGCACUAAAGGAGAGCUUUGCGUCCUAUUAGCUAGUUGGUAAGGUAAGAGCUUACCAAGGCGAUGAUAGGUAGCCGGCCUGAGAGGGUGGACGGCCACAAGGGGACUGAGAUACGGUCCAGACUCCUACGGGAGGCAGCAGCG
rnacentral:rRNA from 1 species